ensembl:lncRNA
CUGAGUGUGUGUAGCCAGGGAACCAGCCGGGAGGAGAGGCCAUUAGCUCGGAAAGCCCGGCUUUAGCAACACUGCAUUGCCACUGUGACACAUUGUAGUUGUAUUUAUCUGCUCAUCUCCAUUGUAAUAUCGUCUAUAGAGUAAUGAUUCUGAUGCUAACCAUGCAUAUAAUGACAUUUCCUUAACAUAUGUGUCUCCCCUGGCAACAAGACAGAGGGUAGUGCUUGAUGUACGUGAUGAACGGUGCUUCCUCUCUGAGACGUGACAGUGAUAUGUGCAGAGAUCGAGAUCUGGUGUUCCGGAAGGUGUUUUACAAAUAUUUGUGGUAUGCUCGCGGCUUCCCUGAGAUGCUCAACCUGUCGGACUGUGUUUCAUUUUGCUGUCAGUGAGACCUGUGUAUGACGGGAAACUUCUGGUCAUCAGGUGUACAGUUCUCCUCAACCUGAAUAUAUGAUUGACAGCAGUGAUAACAUGCAAAUCAGAAUGGUUUAUUUGGUACUCGUAAUGUGAAUUAUUAUUUAUAUUUUUUAUUGUUGUUAUUAUUGAAACAUCCCAUGUGAUAAACUCUCUUGUCCCUGUGUUCCCUUGUGAGUUGGUCCCAAAUCUCCCGAAGGCAUCUAAUGGAAACAUGCAGGAGGAAGGUGAUGUCAUUUAUGAAGCUGUGGAAACAAUCUUAAAGUUGAGCGGAAUUCAGUGCCCGUUGAAUCAUUACUGGGUGAGCUCACUGGUUAAGCGAGUUUAACCGAAUUUGAACUUUGCGCAAAUAAGAUGUGACAUGUGGAAGCUAAGCAUUUAAUUAAUUAUUUAUUGGAAAAAACAAAUGUUAAUGGGGGUUACCCGUAGGAGGCAUCUACCGGCAUCAUGUAACAUUAAAACAUCCCGAUUAAUUUCAG